GGGGACGGACGGGGGCCGCCCAGGACACCCGCCCCGUCCAGGCUCCAGGGCUGGCUUCGGUGUGAGUGUCCCCCACUGCGUGUCAAUCCUGGUUUGUAGCCAACAGACAGGAACCCUCUCAGGACGUGGCCUCCGGGACCCAGUCCUGCCUUCCAUGGAGAACGAGGGUGAUGAGCAAGGCAUACAGGAGGCGCUCGGCCAGGGCAGGCACCCCUUACCUCAGCUGCCGGAGGAGCUCUCCUGCGGAUGCCCAUGUCUGGCCAACCUGGAACACAUCUGCGGGGGACCCGCCGCCUGGGACUACCACAGCUUCGGCCCUGAAUGAACAGUAUUAGGACGUCACGCAGAGGCAGCAUAGCAUCCGUGGGCUUCCCCCUACCACUGACUCCCUCCCGCGUAACCUUGGGGAAGGCACCCGACCUCUCUGGGCCUCAGUGCCCUGAUCUGGAGAAUGGGGCCAAUAGCAGGCUGCUGUGAGAAUUCUCUUGAGCUACUCCCGCAUUACUGAGGCAGCCCCCACGUGGGAGCCGGAACAAUAACCGGUAACUCUUCGCAUUGUGAGCUCAGCCAUCCUGUCUGGAGACCCAGGGAGAGCUGUACUCCGCGAGAGAUUCCCCAUCCCCUGCCCCGGUUCCAGCGGCCCCGCCUGGAUCC